rnacentral:misc_RNA from 1 species
GAUUGGUCGAAAGACCUUAUCAGAUUCUACCACCUCUGUGAACCGUUGACCUCCGGGUUAAUAAUCAAACAUCAGUGUAACGAACGUAAGAGUAUCUUAAUUAAACAAAACUUUUAACAACGGAUCUCUUGGCUCUCGCAUCGAUGAAGAACGCAGCGAAAUGCGAUAAGUAAUGUGAAUUGCAGAAUUCAGUGAAUCAUCGAAUCUUUGAACGCACCUUGCGCCUUUUGGUAUUCCGAAAGGCAUGCCUGUUUCAGUGUCAUGAAAUCUCAAUCUAAUAUGUUUUCUGAACAUGUUAGGCUUGGACUUGGGUGUCUGCCAGCAAUGGCUCACCUCAAAUGACUUAGUGGAACAUCCCACAUCAGUGUUAGACGUAAUAAGUUUCGUCUCUCCUUGUGGUGAUGACUGCUCAAAACCUGCCAUUGCGCACCUUUU